rnacentral:rRNA from 1 species
ACGGGAGGCAGCAGUGGGGAAUAUUGGACAAUGGGCGCAAGCCUGAUCCAGCCAUGCCGCGUGAGUGAUGAAGGCCUUAGGGUUGUAAAGCUCUUUCAGCGGGGACGAUAAUGACGGUACCCGCAGAAGAAGCCCCGGCUAACUUCGUGCCAGCAGCCGCGGUAAUACGAAGGGGGCUAGCGUUGUUCGGAAUCACUGGGCGUAAAGGGCGCGUAGGCGGCUUUGUAAGUCGGGGGUGAAAGCCUGUGGCUCAACCACAGAAUUGCCUUCGAUACUGCAUGGCUUGAGACCGGAAGAGGUUAGUGGAACUGCGAGUGUAGAGGUGAAAUUCGUAGAUAUUCGCAAGAACACCAGUGGCGAAGGCGGCUGACUGGUCCGGUUCUGACGCUGAGGCGCGAAAGCGUGGGGAGCAAACAGGAUUAGAUACCCUGGUA